UACAGGGGGGGCAAGCGUUGUUCGGAAUUACUGGGCGUAAAGGGUUUGUAGGUGGCUUGCUAAGUCAGACGUGAAAUCCCUCAGCUUAACUGGGGAACUGCGUCUGAUACUGGCGAGCUUGAGUGCAGGAGAGGAACGCGGAAUUCCUGGUGCAGCGGUGAAAUGCGUAGAGAUCAGGAAGAACACCGGUGGCGAAAGCGCUCUGCUAGGCCGCAACUGACACUGAGGGACGAAAGCUAGGGGAGCGAAUGGG
rnacentral:rRNA from 1 species